GCUUUCUUUGCUGGCGACCGGCGCACGGGUGAGUAACACGUAUCCAACCUGCCCUUUACUCGGGGAUAGCCUUUCGAAAGAAAGAUUAAUACCCGAUAGCAUAAUGAUUCCGCAUGGUUUCAUUAUUAAAGGAUUCCGGUAAAGGAUGGGGAUGCGUUCCAUUAGGUUGUUGGUGAGGUAACGGCUCACCAAGCCUUCGAUGGAUAGGGGUUCUGAGAGGAAGGUCCCCCACACUGGAACUGAGACACGGUCCAAACUCCUACGGGAGGCAGCAUG
rnacentral:rRNA from 1 species